GGAUCCGUAGCUCAGUUGGAUAGAGCAACAGCCUUCUAAGCUGUGGGCCAAGGGUUCGAAUCCCUUCGGAUUCA
rfam:Bacteroidetes bacterium oral taxon 272 str. F0290 ctg120009420983, whole genome shotgun sequence.